GAAAAAAAAACAGGACCACACACGGCGCAUGAAUUCGCCUCCUCUCCUCUCGCCCAUGCCUCGCCGCCGCCACCACCCACGCCGCACGCUUCCGGCGAGCUCCGGCGCUGCGCAGAACGCCCCCGAGCUCCCCACGGUCCGCGCCUCCCUCCCCUCCGGCUAGAUUCUCUGUUCCCAGCCUCUACCACCCGCUCGCAACCCCACCUCCGUGGCUAGGGUUUCGGACAUGGCUUCAACGGCACGUCUCCGGCGGCCCUAGGUUCGUCCCUCCUUCCUUUCGGUCAAGUCUGGGUGGAGGUGGGCGGCGACUUGGUUGUGGAGGGCUGAAGCCUGAAGGUGCUGGGGCUGACGAGCUCCUGCCACUGUAUGUGGAUUGAGCUGGAUGGGCACUGGGGUGAUUUGGGGAUCUGGCUGCUAAUGCUGCGAUAAAACGUCGUUACGAUUUUGAGUGAUCUAGGGCCGCUCAUUGUCUCUUGUGGUCGGCCCCGCAGCCACUAUUCUGAACGACCGUCACGGUUAUCCGCAACACACCCAUCUGCUGCACAUCUUUAUAUGUAUGUAACCUACGGAGAAUAGGAACAAUCACUACAGAGCCUGAAGAUUGUUUUUAUUUCUUUCAUUGUCUUUCACCGAUCUAUCAUUAUUUCAUUUGUCCAUGUAGAUUUAGAUAACAUGAGAUGAGCUGAUGAUACGUGCUACUAUUUGAAGACACGAUUAUCUACUGCAGAAUUGUUGAUGUAUUUGUGCUGACAGGUUAUGCAGUACUUGAAACACUUUAAUUAGAGGAAUUAGAGUUACAAAGUUCUGACUCGGUUCAUGGGGCAAUCUGAAAGAGAACUUGGUGAUGUCAAGUAAUUCUAAGAGCAUAGGCAUUAUCCUUUUUUUAAAUAAUGGUAAGAGCAUAGAUCCCAUCGACCAGGAAUUAAUCCAUCAGGCAAGCAGAAGACUGAACGAAACAGUACCUUCAUAUAUUAUUUCCAAGACCAUUAAUGUUGUUUUCUUUACUGUAAGGAACCAGCUUAAGGCCUUUAUGCAUUGAACGAACUACCAAGAUUUUUCUAUCUUCAUGUAUGAUCCAUCUUGCAUAGACACAUGCGUAGCAAUGGGAUACUAUUUGGUAUGAACAACAUCAUUAUCUUGCAAUUCUAACAUGUAUGCAUUUAACUUAUUUACACACAUAAUAGUGAUGCAUCUUGCGUAUCUGCUUAUUGUAUCUGAAUCUUCAAUGCAAUUAACUGCUUAAUUAGACAGCAGCAGGAUUGAGCGAUCUGGCAUAUAAGCUUUGCUCAGUGGUUCAGAUUAUCACUGUUAGUCUUCUGGUCUUGUCAAGUUUUUAGACUUCUUGAGGUCGCUCAACCAAUCUGGCGUAAAGCUAUGAAGAGAUUUUGCUUGGAAAGAUUACUGAAAGGAUACCUUCACUUCAUUUUAUCCCCUAGAUUAGUAUAAGUAUAUAUUAAGCCCCCGUUUAUUUAGAUGUAUAGCUUGCAUGGCAGUCUUGUUUAAACAGAUUUUUGGGGCAUUAAGCAAUGCAUACUCUGCUCACCAUUUUUCUCAUGUGUGUUGUUAGCCAAGCACUUGCUUUUCAAGAUAUCCUUUCCGAUGUUAGGCUGGGCUGCGUGAUUCGUCGAUGUCUGCUCAAUACAGUUGUGGUGAUCCCGGUGACGAGGACAUUAGGGACAUCGGCCCGGCGGAGUCUGGUGAGUCAGCUAUGAAGCCAAAUCCGCAGUCACCAGGGACCAGGGUGGAUCGAGAGAGUUCUUGUGGGAGCGAAUCCUACAGAGCGAACCCUAUGCCCCGUUAGUAUGGGUACUCUUGAGAAGUCCAUAAGGGCUUUCACAGAGGCAUGUAGAAGAGGUCGUCAAGCCGGAGUUGGGCACCACAUUUGCCUCGCUGACAGAGGCAUACGUCUUUUACAACCUGUAUUAGUGGGAAAAUGGGUUUAGUAUCAGGCAUGGGAAGAGCCGAUUGAAUCCCGACAAGCGGAAGACCAUGCAAGAGACUGUUUGUGGUUGCUCAGUAUGUAUAUCAAUUAAAAAUUCAGUUCUCCUUCACAUUUGCGCUGGAUGGAGGGUCUGGUCUGAUGAUAAAACAUCUGUUGGAGCAGGGGGAGGCUUUGCGUGAGAAUACAAGGUUGUGCCGCUGUGAGUGUCCUGCGAUGAUAAGGCUGCUACGGACAUCAGAUAAUGGGUGGUAUACAAUGGAGCACCGGGUAAAGCAUAACAUUGUUAUGAUGCCAAUGUAGAGAGAUGUUGCACUGGCCAUCGCACACGCACAUUGAUGUGUACACGAGCGGGGUGCGGGACUGAUCUAAACAAGAGAAGCAAGAUUGGACAGAGGGGGCAAUGGGGCAGUGGGAAUCAUUCGUGGUUGCGUAUUACAGUGGCGGUGGGCUGGAUGACGAUUGCAGUAGGGAUAGCGCCCCGCGGAGUCCGAAGAGUCUGCACUGAAACCAAAUUCGAGAGCACACGGUAGACUAAGAGGUAUUGGAUAACUUAGCAGAAUAUGUGUUUUGUCUGACAAUACUGAGGUUAGGGUGUGUCUUCAGUGGAAGGAAACUGAAAAAGAGAUCCUAAAAGGUUGUAGAGUUAGGAGUGGCUGUCAUUUGUGAUUUUUGUUCAAAAAAAACCAAGGAUCUAUUGUGGAGUGUGAGAAAACAAAUUAUUUUUAUUUCAUGUAAUUUAUGACCUCAAA